GAUGAACGCUAGCGGCAGGCUUAACACAUGCAAGUCGAGGGGUAGAGGAAGCUUGCUUCCUUGAGACCGGCGCACGGUGCGUAACGCGUAUGCAAUCUACCUUAUACAGGGGGAUAGCCCAGAGAAAUUUGGAUUAAUACCCCAUAGUAUAAUUGAAUGGCAUCAUUUAAUUAUUAAAGUUCCAACGGUAUAAGAUGAGCAUGCGUCCAUUAGCUAGUUGGUGUGGUAACGGCACACCAAGGCGACGAUGGGUAGGGGUCCUGAGAGGGAGAUCCCCCACACUGGUACUGAGACACGGACCAGACUCCUACGGGAGGCAGCAGUGAGGAAUAUUGGUCAAAUGGGCGCAAGCCUGAACCAGCCAUGCCGCGUGCAGGAUGACGGUCCUAUGGAUUGUAAACUGCUUUUGUACAGGAAGAAACACUCCCUCGUGAGGGAGCUUGACGGUACUGUAAGAAU
rnacentral:rRNA from 1 species